CAAUCCGGGUGUCGCCU
rnacentral:tRNA from 4 species